UACAGGGGGUGCAAGCGUUGUUCGGAAUUAUUGGGCGUAAAGCGCGUGUAGGCGGACCACUAAGUCUGGUGUGAAAUCCCUCGGCUUAACCGAGGACGUGCAUUGGAUACUGGUGGCCUUGAGUCCUGGAGAGGGUAGCGGAAUUCCCAGUGUAGAGGUGAAAUUCGUAGAUAUGCGGAGGAACACCGAUGGCGAAGGCAAUCCCCUGGGCCUGCACUGACGCUCAUGCACG
rnacentral:rRNA from 1 species